UACAUGGGGUGCAAACGUUGCCCGGAAUUAUUGGGCGUAAAGCGCGCGUAGGCGGUUACUCAAGUCGGAUGUGAAAGCCCUCGGCUUAACUGAGGAAGUGCACCCGAAACUGAGUAGCUAGAGUACCAAAGAGGGUCGCGGAAUUCCCGGUGUAGAGGUGAAAUUCGUAGAUAUCAGGAGGAACACCGGUGGCGAAGGCGGCUUCCUGGCCAUUCACUGACGCUGAGACGCGAAAGCGUGGGGAGCAAACAGG
rnacentral:rRNA from 1 species